rnacentral:rRNA from 1 species
AACGAACGCUGGCGGCAGGCUUAACACAUGCCAGUCGAGCGAGACCUUCGGGUCUAGCGGCGGACGGGUGAGUAACGCGUGGGAACGUGCCCUUCUCUACGGAAUAGCCCCGGGAAACUGGGAGUAAUACCGUAUACGCCCUUUGGGGGAAAGAUUUAUCGGAGAGGGAUCGGCCCGCGUUGGAUUAGGUAGUUGGUGGGGUAAUGGCCCACCAAGCCGACGAUCCAUAGCUGGUUUGAGAGGAUGAUCAGCCACACUGGGACUGAGACACGGCCCAGACUCCUACGGGAGGCAGCAGUGGGGAAUCUUAGACAAUGGGGGCAACCCUGAUCUAGCCAUGCCGCGUGAGUGAUGAAGGCCUUAGGGUUGUAAAGCUCUUUCAGCUGGGAAGAUAAUGACGGUACCAGCAGAAGAAGCCCCGGCUAACUCCGUG